rnacentral:sRNA from 1 species
UUGACAGCCUCAGAGACUGAAACCUUCUAUUUAUCCACAGAUUAAAUACAGCCCAGACAGUGACAGUGCAGCUUCUAUGCUGACCUAGAGGGGUUACCAUCAAGGGGAUGAACACAUUAAUCUCCCCUUGGCAUUUGCCACCUUGCCGGAG